UUCGUUUUUAAUUAUCUAAUUCAUGAUAUUAUUUUAUAUUGUAUUUUUUUCUAUCGGUUGAUACUUGAUAAUUAUUCAGCUUUGAUACGAGUAUGAAUAUUAUCGCAGCUUUAUAGUGAGAAAUGCUUUUAAUUAAGUACUCACUGGUAGUAUGCACUUUACUGCUUCGUUAAUCGUUAACCACAGCCGUGCACAACCGUACAAUACAUAGCGACUUUAAAGCCGUUGAUCUCUCACUUGGGAGCCGGUUUUGAGGUUCACUGGCGAUUAGUGCCCUGCAACGGAGUACGAAACUGCGUCCAGUCCGAUCCGAACUUAAAAAAUUUUAUCCGAACCCAGUCCGACUCCGAAUUCUAAAAAUCGUACUCCGACCAAUCCGAUCCGAAAAUAUUUUUGGCAAAUCCGAACCCACUCCGAUCCGAUCCGAAAAAUUUUCGAAAAGAAUACGUAUUACUUGAUUUUAUUACACAUCCCUACAUUAAAAAAUUUUUAAUGCCAUGUUUUCGGUAGCAAAAAGACUUCAGAAUUCAGAAGUACAAUUUUCUUGGGCAUAAUAAAGGGUACGCUGGAAGAUUUACAUAUACAAGAAUGUUUUAGAUAAAUUUAGUUUUUUAGCACUACAGUGUCGAAGCAUCUGGGGAGGUUAGUUAUCUAUCCUCACUGUCGGGAAUCUGUAUCAGAUCUUUUUGUUGUAUACGGUUCACCCCACGGAUUACCCACAUAUUAGCCAGGGUUAAAAAAACGG